CUUCGGGACAGAGAGAGCGGCGUACGGGUGCGGAACACGUGUGCAACCUGCCUUUAUCAGGGGGAGAGCCUUUCGAAAGGAAGAGUAAUACCCCAUAAUAUAUUGAAUGGCAUCAUUUGAUAUUGAAAACUCCGGUGGAUAGAGAUGGGCACGCGCAAGAUUAGAUAGUUGGUGAGGUAACGGCUCACCAAGUCAGUGAUCUUUAGGGGGCCUGAGAGGGUGAUCCCCCACACUGGUACUGAGACACGGACCAGACUCCUACGGGAGGCAGCAGUGAGGAAUAUUGGACAAUGGGUGAGAGCCUGAUCCAGCCAUCCCGCGUGAAGGACGACGGUUCUAUGGAUUGUAAACUUCUUUUAUACUGGGAUAAACCUACCCUCGUGAGGGUAGCUGAAGGUACAGUAUGAAUAAGCACCGGCUAACUCCGUGCCAGCAGCCGCGGUAAUACGGAGGGUGCAAGCGUUAUCCGGAUUUAUUGGGUUUAAAGGGUCCGUAGGCGGAUCUGUAAGUCAGUGGUGAAAUCUCAUAGCUUAACUAUGAAACUGCCAUUGAUACUGCAGGUCUUGAGUAAAGUAGAAGUGGCUGGAAUAAGUAGUGUAGCGGUGAAAUGCAUAGAUAUUACUUAGAACACCAAUUGCGAAGGCAGGUCACUAUGUUUUAACUGACGCUGAUGGACGAAAGCGUGGGGAGCGAACAGGAUUAGAUACCCUGGUAGUCCACGCCGUAAACGAUGCUAACUCGUUUUUGGGUUUUCGGAUUCAGAGACUAAGCGAAAGUGAUAAGUUAGCCACCUGGGGAGUACGUUCGCAAGAAUGAAACUCAAAGGAAUUGACGGGGGCCCGCACAAGCGGUGGAUUAUGUGGUUUAAUUCGAUGAUACGCGAGGAACCUUACCAAGGCUUAAAUGGGAAUUGACAGGUUUAGAAAUAGACUUUUCUUCGGACAAUUUUCAAGGUGCUGCAUGGUUGUCGUCAGCUCGUGCCGUGAGGUGUUAGGUUAAGUCCUGCAACGAGCGCAACCCCUGUCACUAGUUGCCAUCAUUCAGUUGGGGACUCUAGUGAGACUGCCUACGCAAGUAGAGAGGAAGGUGGGGAUGACGUCAAAUCAUCACGGCCCUUACGCCUUGGGCCACACACGUAAUACAAUGGCCAGUACAGAGGGCAGCUACCAGGCGACUGGAUGCGAAUCUCGAAAGCUGGUCUCAGUUCGGAUUGGAGU
rnacentral:rRNA from 1 species